CGUCUAAGGCCCCCUGUCUUUAUUUUCUGCAUUUCGGUCUUAGCGGUUUCGGUUUCUUCCCUCCGACUUCUACUCUUGUCAACUGACCAUCGUUCGGGUCGCGUCGUCGUGUCAGUUAGCAACGGCCACAGCAGCACCUGUUGGCCUAGUCAGUCAGUCAGUCAGGCAGUCAGUCAGUCAGUGCGUGGUGUUGCGUGCUGACGCCCGGCGAUCUGCGAUAGUGGCGGCCUUCAGCGUCCGAACGACAAAAUUGGAAGCGGUGAACGAAGCCCUGGCGCCGCUCGUUAUUGCCGCUCCCUUCUAGAGUAAAAUAGACCAAUGAAGUAGCAGCUGCUGCAAAUACGUCAAAUCAAAGGAAGUGUAUUUUCUCUUGACUCUGAGCGAAGUUGAUUCGAGGCAAGGCGAGCGUGGUAUGGCAGUGGAAGCAAUAGGGAUGCCGCUGCUGCUCGAGACAGAAUUUAGCUAUUGCCCCUGCCCCCCGUAUUGCGCCGUUGCCGACAGCUCCGACCCUGGAGACGAAAUCGCUAUGUACAAAUUCUCACUGUGACGGCUACACGUAACGAAGUGUGUGUUCGCGUUACAUUGAUAGCGUAAUGGAGUAGCUUCAUAUUUACAUGGCUGAGCUUUGAUCACAGAGCUGAAUUCAUUUGCUUCCAUGAUGUCCAUCGAUAGGCUCCGUAUUGAUGAGAAGCCGUGUUCGACACCCGGCUCAAACAUGGCAAGAACAAAAUUCGCAACAGGAUGGGGUCGCACGAAUCUAAGAAGGGGGGCGCUGCCACAAAAAAAGUAAAGCGGAACAUUGAUGGUCGAAAAGUAUACGAAUGAAACGUUGUAGUAGAGGCAAAAAGGUAAAAUGCUGCCAGCGGCUAAAUUCGACCCCUUGGGGGUUGUUCGGCUGCAUUUAUUCGAAAAUCCGCUCGACCAUGCUAAACUUCUUUGCUUCGUAUUCGCGGACACGCGGCGUAAUGACGAGGAAAAGUCAGAAGAUACCAGUAAUUGAAACUAUGCUAAAUCGUUGUGAACAAGCCGUUAACCCAUUUCGUUGUUAUCUGGACGGUAAUUCAUGAUGUGCACUCCCAUGGAGCUCCAAAUAAAUAUACGUUGAGCAAUUCAAGGAAGGCAAGCAUAGGGAGAUAACAGGUAUCUCUUGAGAAAACAAAAUGUUUAUUCAGCCAGACGGCUUUUCCCAUUGGCCAAUCGUCGUGUGGCUUAGUCGGAAACUCUUCCAAUGCAAAAAAAAAACUAAUUAAACAGACAGAAAGCAUCGUGAACAUGGAUUUACAACUAAAGCUUCAACAAAUGGUCAUUGAGGAUAAACAUGAUUGGCCAUG